rnacentral:rRNA from 1 species
GUAGGUGGCAAGCGUUGUCCGGAAUUAUUGGGCGUAAAGCGCGCGCAGGCGGUUCUUUAAGUCUGAUGUGAAAGCCCACGGCUCAGCCGUGGAGGGUCAUUGGAAACUGGAGAACUUGAGUACAGAAGAGGAAAGCGGAAUUCCACGUGUAGCGGUGAAAUGCGUAGAGAUGUGGAGGAACACCAGUGGCGAAGGCGGCUUUCUGGUCUGUAACUGACGCUGAGGCGCGAAAGCGUGGGGAGCAAACAGGAUUAGAUACCCUGGUAGUCCACGCCGUAAACGAUGAGUGCUAAGUGUUAGGGGGGUUUCCGCCCCCCUUAGUGCUGCAGCUAACGCAUUAAGCACUCCGCCUGGGAGUACGGCCGCAAGGCUG